rnacentral:rRNA from 1 species
UAGGGAAUCUUCGGCAAUGGACGAAAGUCUGACCGAGCAACGCCGCGUGAGUGAAGAAGGUUUUCGGAUCGUAAAACUCUGUUGUUAGAGAAGAACAAGGACGUUAGUAACUGAACGUCCCCUGACGGUAUCUAACCAGAAAGCCACGGCUAACUACGUGCCAGCAGCCGCGGUAAGACGUAGGUGGCAAGCGUUGUCCGGAUUUAUUGGGCGUAAAGCGAGCGCAGGCGGUUUCUUAAGUCUGAUGUGAAAGCCCCCGGCUCAACCGGGGAGGGUCAUUGGAAACUGGGAGACUUGAGUGCAGAAGGGGAGAGUGGAAUUCCAUGUGUAGCGGUGAAAUGCGUAGAUAUAUGGAGGAACACCAGUGGCGAAGGCGGCUCUCUGGUCUGUAACUGACGCUGAGGCUCGAAAGCGUGGGGAGCAAACAGG